UACGUAGGGGGCUAGCGUUGUCCGGAAUCAUUGGGCGUAAAGCGCGUGUAGGCGGUUCGGUAGGUCCGCUGUGAAAGUCGGGGGCUCAACCCUCGAAAGCCGGUGGAUACUGUCGGACUAGAGUGCGGAAGAGGGCGAGGUGGAAUUCCUGGUGUAGCGGUGAAAUACGCAGAUAUCAGGAGGAACACCAAUGCGAAGGCAGCUCGCUGGGACGUUACUGACGCUGGAGAACGCGAAAGCCGUGGGGAGCAAACAGG
rnacentral:rRNA from 1 species